GGUCCUGUGGUGUAGUGGUUAUCACGCUCGCUUCACACGCGAGAGGCCGCCGGUUCGAUCCCGGCCAGGACCU